rnacentral:rRNA from 1 species
CAAGUCGAACGCGAAAGCGGGGCAACCCGCAAGUAGAGUGGCGAACGGGUGAGUAAUACAUCGGAACGUGUCCAGUAGCGGGGGAUAACCUCUCGAAAGAGAGGCUAAUACCGCAUACGACCUAUGGGUGAAAGAGGGGGAUCGCAAGACCUCUCACUAUUGGAGCGGCCGAUGUCGGAUUAGCUAGUUGGUGAGGUAAAAGCUCACCAAGGCGACGAUCCGUAGCUGGUCUGAGAGGACGGCCAGCCACACUGGAACUGAGACACGGUCCAGACUCCUACGGGAGGCAGCAGUGGGGAAUUUUGGACAAUGGGCGCAAGCCUGAUCCAGCCAUGCCGCGUGAGUGAAGAAGGCCUUCGGGUUGUAAAGCUCUUUCGGCGGGGACGAAACGGUCCGUGCUAACACCACGGAUCACUGACGGUACCCGCAGAAGAAGCACCGGCUAACUACGUGCCAGCAGCCGCGGUAAUACGUAGGGUGCAGGCGUUAAUCGGAAUUACUGGGCGUAAAGCGUGCGCAGGCGGUCUCUUAAGACAGGUGUGAAAUCCCCGGGCUUAACCUGGGAACUGCGCUUGUAACUGAGAGGCUUGAGUGCGGCAGAGGGGGGUGGAAUUCCACGUGUAGCAGUGAAAUGCGUAGAGAUGUGGAGGAACACCGAUGGCGAAGGCAGCCCCCUGGGUCGACACUGACGCUCAUGCACGAAAGCGUGGGGAGCAAACAGGAUUAGAUACCCUGGUAGUCCACGCCCUAAACUAUGUCAACUGGUUGUCGGGGAAGCAAUUCCUUGGUAACGAAGCUGACGCGUGAAGUUGACCGCCUGGGGAGUACGG